AAAGCACACGAAUCAUGCAGUUGAUGUUGUGUGUGUGUAAUUACACUUCCUCUUCUGCACCCAGGCUUGGCUACAGCACUUCUUGGAAGUUGGGAUGUCUUAUUUAGAGUUUGGCACUGUCCUUGUGCUGUUUAUUGUGUCAACAGAGCACCUGCCGCCUGUCCUCGUCUCGCUGGCAUUAGCACGCGCCGUUGUGACACCCUCACCGCCUACCACUCCCUUGGCUCCAAAUUUGUACUCAUCACUUCAUCAGCAGUCCACCAGAUUUAAAGAGUGAAAGGGGUUCUGAUUAAAGGGAAAUAAUCAUGCAAAAAAAAAGUUUAUUUAGUACAUUACCCUCAAAAACAUGAAUGAACUAAUUCUAAAUUCCCCACGCUUGUUCUUGUGGUGCGCAAUUCACUUUUUCCUCCUUAUCUGGUGCAGCCUUGUGCAUUGCAUGUAGCAGCCAGGUGCAGGUGAUGAAGCAGGUGUAGAAAGAGAUUUAUUGAUUUGAAUCGUAUUUUGAAACAGAGUCUUCUCACUGCCAGCAAACACUCUGUCACUCAGAAGGGACAGGAUGGACAGAUGUAGUUUUGCGUUUCCUCCAGUCAACGGAACAAUUUCUGAAUAGCUUUUGCGCUGUUGAUUGCCGCCGAGGGUAAAGAAAGGUUUGUAAAUCAUGAUAAGGAUUUUCUGUGGGAAGGCAACAGUUCUGGCAGUUGAGUACGUAAAUGUAAAAGUUGGUGUCAAACUUAGACGAACUACUGGUUGACCUUUAUUUGCAUAACACUGACAUUUAAAUGGUGUGUGUGUGAGCGUAUAUGUGUGUGUCAAGUUAUGUGAGAGUCUGCAGGACAGCCUUGGGGCAACGUGUUCUCCUUUCACUGGAGGCUUGUGGGGGCUUGUUCCAUGACUUUGACAGCUUUGCAGAUCAUAAACUCCUGUCAGCUCAGGUCUACACUUGAGUGCACUGAAACAGUACACUCACCAUCGGAGAUCAGCACAGCCAUCUAUUGUUGUUCUAACGGAGAGUAAGCUUCUGAUAACUGAUAAACUACUGGUGUCAAGCAACCAUUUGACACAAGCAUCUUUUUUCCCUUUGUCACCUUGCUAAUCAUUAUCUUUAAAUGUUCAGUCAAAGUAAUUCUGACAUUUCAGUUCGCAUUACGCUAAUACUAAUGUGGAACUGAAGUCAAUCAUCUGCUUAUAUUCUGAUUCUCAGGUUACGUUUUUCAGCAUUCAAAUCAUUUCUGGAUCAUUUUAAUUUUUUUAUUUUAACUAAUCUAAAAAUUACAAACCCCACCGAUUAGUUAUACAAAAAGUUAUACAAAAAGAAUCAAUAAUUUGCCUUAACAUGAAUAACAGAAUAACACGUCAACACAUAUGUUAAUCUUUAAAUAGAUUCCUAUAAAUAUGAAAGCCAGUUAUUCAAAAUUUGAAAGUCAACUUAAAGGCAGUUGGCCACCAGGCCAAAAAGGUCACGCAGGUGCAAUGUGAAAGUGUCUAGGACUUUCAAGACUUUCUGUCCAGUGAUGAUGGAAACUGGCUUUUUGGUUUUCUUCGCAGUAAGCAGCAGUCCCCCCCCCCCCCCCCCGCUCCACACAGCUGCAGGCUUUAACUGAAGACCAUGGCCCAGCAUAGUCGGUGUGAUCUGAACUGAAUGUGUCAUCAGCAUAUGUAAAUGUGUGUCUGGAAGCCAGUGUUAUAAUGCAGUUUGACACACUUUCAUGUCUAUUUUAUCAGCUUUCAAACAACACUCUCUGUUACCUUUGCUGGCUUUUUAAUUUUGGGCACUCAUUCAAAGCCUUAUUCCUACCGCAUCUCCACAUGUGCAGGCUGAAUUAUUGUUUGUCUUAAAAGUUCAUAGAGAACAUUAAACCCCUUGUAUUUUCUUGAAUUCUUAUGCCUUGUAACCACAACAUAAUUACACACAUAUGCACACAUACACACGCACACUUCCAAAAGGUUUGAAACAAAUGUAUGAUGGUAUAAAUUAUCACUCAAAAAAAAAUACCACUUCAUGUUUGCGAUCAGAAUUACAAUCAGUCAUAAAGAACAAAUUUUAUUUCAACACACCACUCUAAUCUUGUGGAUCUCAGACAGUUGAACAAUCUAGACAGUUACAAUUUAUCUGACCCAGUGCAAGCAUCACUGAGAAUAUCAGCAUUAUCUCUGAGCUGUCAGUAGUUUUUUUUUUUUACCUGCUACUUAAAUCCGUUGCUUCUUUCCAGGCGACAGAAUUCAUGGAACCUGGGGUUUCAUGGUACUGUGACCAUGGUGAUGUUCUGAAGUGUAUGUUUAUGUGUAUUUGUUUACUCUGACAUCUCAAGGCAAACCCGUGGGACUGGAAACAUAAGAUACGGGCAGGGAGAUGAGUUAUAGGGGUCGCUGUGUAGGGAGCUAAAGAAGGGCAGGCUGGGGCAGGAGAACUAUAACAGGGGAGAUACCCAAAAGUCGAUACCUAAUACACCUUACUGUUCAACUUUCACCUACUAUUGAACUAUUGAACUUGUUAGUGUUAUAUCUGUUGGUUCAAGAAUCUCUAUCUAUCCAUAUAUCUAUCUAUACACACACUAUGAUUGAUAUGUAGAUAAGUAUAGAUAUUUAUUAAUUUAACAUCAUUUGUAUUUUAUUUAUAUUUGGCCAUUUGAAUUUAUAGCAGUGCAAUGGAUCGUAAACAAUGCAUAUGAGCUGCUACUUGAACAGUACAGUGAUAUGACAAGCCUGUGCAUCACAGUACAGACAUCAUGCUCAGUUUAAAGACAUGUGUUGUCACCCAUCUCAUGCUCUGUGUUUCCUGGGAUAAACGCCACAUGUCCUGUGACCGUGUGUAGGAUAAACGGAAGGAAAGCUGUGUGGCUGCUGUGGCCUGCCUUGCCAGAGGGAAAGAGUUUGAAUGCUGACUCCAAGGCUAAGGAAAAUUAGCCAAUUGAUGACAUCAGCAUUUCCAAAUGGAUUUUCUCUUUGGGAGUUUUUCACCAUUGGCAAAUCCAUAUUCUAAACACAAAGAGCCUUUUGUUGUAAUUGUUAUUUUUAAUAAUUGGGCAUCAUGAGCAAAACGUACAAAACGUUUCUUUCAGUUCCUUGUUUGUUUUAGGUGACAUGGAAUCCCCUCUAAUUAUUACUGGCAAAAUUACUGGCUUGAUCUUAUUGAUAUUCUAAUCAAAAUUAAUUAAAAAUCAUCUUUGUUUAAUUGUCUGAGAUGAACUAUAUCAUUUCAAUCACACCUUUAAGCAGAUAUUGAUUAUUAAGCAGAUAUUAACAGAAUGAACUCUGUUUACUUGCACGGUUGUCACUGGACUAGACAUUUUAGAUGGGAAAAGUUUGUAUAGUUUUUUUUGUUGAGUUUUCUUCUUUUCAUCUAAAAGUUGUAAUUGGGGCGACUGCACCUUGAAACCCAGAGGAACAAGUUUUUCAUCAUUUAUCUUUUUUUUCCUGCUGUCAAACCUGUCUUUUCCCCCCUUUUUUUUAGAGUUUGUUGUUCAACGGAUCCUUUGGCUAUCCCCCUGACACACCCCCACACCCGUCAUGUGGAUCAGUGACUAAAAUAACAAAUACCUUCUGUCUGCUACCAGCAAAGACAUUAAAGCUUAAUUAAUUUUUAUUUGCAUU